AAGGCAGUAGAAUAUAGGCUAGAAGGGUAUAUUGAAGCCAAAUUAAAGAAGGAUGUGAAGGUUAGGCUAAGAAGUGUGAUGAGCUUUAUUUAGGUAAUAGGCAAUGAGGAGAAAUUGAAACAUGAAGGAACAUAAUUUGAGGUGUGAUUAUUUGAGUUUUUAAAAUAUUAUCACUGUGCAUCAGAAUGGGUUAGGGAAGGCUUAAAUCCUGGAUGCUGGCUCAGCACCUAUUAGAGCAAUUAAAAUGAGAAAUGAUGCAGACUAAACUAGAAUUUCAGGUAAAAAUAGGAAAAAUAUGGUAUACGCGUUAAAAAAUGGUAUAGGCGUUAAAAAACUACACUUGACUGAGUUAGAAUAUGGAGGAAAAGGAAGUAUGGAGAUCAGAAGAAAACAUCAGGAUUUGGGAGCUUGGACACAGGUUUUGCUUUUCCAUCUUUUAUGGAGUAUGAUUUACUUUCAAAUCGCCUCUGAAGAAACCUAUUAGUCAGUCAACUGCAGAAAAACUUCUCCAUAAUAUCUACCUGGAAUAUAUCUUGCUUCCAUUCACCUUCUUCCUUUGUCAAUGACUCUCAGGAGGAAUACAGUCUUUGUCAGUCAUAAAGGAAGGAAGAGUCAAUGACAUAGGAUCCCAAACAUGGCUAAAAUGUCUCAUAUCUAAUGCUGUACUCCCCCUCUUAACCAAAAUUUGUGUCAGGAAAAGGCACAAAACUCCACCAAAGGAUUACGGUACCUUAAUCCAAGGAAGUUGUAUAGAGGCUAGUAUUUAAAAUUGUCAUUUUGAUAGGCCCCACUAGUGGAUUUUAUCCCCUGUUAGGUUGGACAAUCCUCAGUACAUACACCUUACUACACAAAGGUAAGAUUCUGGAUGAGUGAGGCAUAUGCCUGUCUUUCAUAAAGUGAGAGCAGGGCUAUCAGGAAUAUCAGUUUGGGAAAGAAUAAAGGUCUGGGACCUCACUUUCAGAAAGAGGACAUAUAGAUUUUGAGGAUUUAGAAAUUGAUUUUUAAAAAGUGAUCUGUUAAUUUUUCAUAAACCUUUAGGUCAUACAUACUUCUGUUUGAUUUCAACAGCUUUCUUUGUUAUUACCAAAGAGUAUUCAAUCUCUUAUUGUUGUCUGCUGUCUGAAGCCUGUUUUACUAAGAUGGCACCUGGGAAUGUAGGGAGGAAUAUUCCUCCCUUCCUUUCUCGUUCUCUUCUUUUUUCUCCCCCACCUUAUUAUUUUUCUUCUUCCCAACCCCUCCCUUCCUUCCUUCCUUCCUUCCUUCCUAACUUCCUUUCUCCCUCCCUCCCUUCCUUCCUUCCUUCCUGUCUCUGCAUGUACACUAACUGACAUUUAAUGUUCUCUGGAGCCAUAUGUCUUGCCCACUCAAACUCUGUGCACUCUGCAGGUCUCUAAUACUAAAUUCUGCAGAGAAUAUAAAUGUGAUCUGUGUUAGAUUAUUUAGGCAAAGUCUGGAUGGAUACAGUUUUAAACUAUAUUUAGUAACAUUAAGCACACAGAUUCAAAUCAAGAUCUCCUGAAUCUAAUAAUCCAAGUUAUAAACUCCUUCUCAUUUAGUCAUCCCAUGAAUAUUUAUUAAGCAUCUUGAGCAUCUACUCUGUUCCAGGGUCUGUGCUCAGUUGUUUUUUGUUAGUUUGUUUUUUAGACGAAGUUUCACUCUUGUCACCCAGGCUGGAGUGCAAUGGCAUGAUCUCAGCUCACUGCAACCUCCGCCUCCUGAGUUCAAGCAAUUCUUCUGCCUCAGCCUCCCGAGUAGCUGGGAUUAUAGGCGCCUGCUGCCAUGCCCAGCUAAUUUUUGUAUUUUAAGUAGAGACGGGGUUUCACCAUGUUGGCUGGGGUGCUCUCGAACUCCUGACCUCAGGUAAUCUGCCCGCCUCAGCCUCCCAAAGUGCUGGCAUUACAGGUGUGAGCCACCAUGCCCAGCCUGUGCUCAGUUUUAAGAAAAAUAAGAUGUGAUCUCUAUCCUGCAUGAGCUCACAAAGGGCUUUGUGAGAUUAAAUGAUAAGCAAAAUUUGCUAAUAAUUACUAUGUAAAAAGAGUUUAUAACUGAGAGGUUCACUAAGUAUUCUUGGAGAACAAGAGGGGGAAAAAUGAUUAUGUCUUUCCUAGGGGAGUUGGGAAGGCUUUAGAGGGAAGGUCGUGACCUUUGAGCAGUGAAGGUACUUAAAACACAGUUGCUGGGAAAGAUCCAUUUCAGCUAGUGGCAGAAGAUAGACUACUGUUAUAUACAGGAGAAUAUAUCUCACCAGCUCUCUGUUCUUUAUGUGUAACAUUUCUAGGUAAACCUAGAAAUUUUAAAACUGCAAUAGAAUCUGAACUGUUAGCUACUGAAAAAGCUGAGAGUGUUGAAGUGAGCAGAAUUUGCUUCAAAUGCAAUAUCCAGGGAUUUUGGAAGAUGUAUUUCAUUUGAUAUAUUUCCUGUCUGCUUUAAAUGUAUAAUAUAGCAUAUCAAAGUGAUCCCAUUUUAUUACCCAAAAUAAUGCACUCUAUUAUUCUUAUUCUGUCAGUUUUAUUAUUGUCUCGUGCAAUUAGUAGAUUUAAAAAUUAAUGUCUAACUCAGGAUUUCUCAGCUACAGAAUUAUUAAACUUUAAACCAUGG